UAGGUUCCUUGACUGUAUUGGAUUCACCCGACUUAUAUCCUUCAACAGCAGCUUCCUCAAGCUGAUGUUGAAUAGAUGUUAACCGCAUGCGAGGCGUUGGUAACGCACAUCGAUGUACAGGACUUAAACGAGGAGUGGAGUACUUCUCCUUUAUCUUGGUAGGUGUUCUCACUAAUUCAUAUAUAUCCCUAACCAUCUAAUUAGCACAUAUGAUAAACAACAAAUGCGUACGACUCUAGCUGUAACUUGGAAACUUCAAGCAUGUGUUCAUUCAACCAGUCCAUGGUUUCAGAUACAAGGAAGAAGAAUUCUUUCAUUUUUCCAUUAGUGAGUUGUUGGGAGUAUUCCAACUCCUUAUUAAACCAUAGUUCUGACCCAUUAGAGCCCAUCCUGUUUGGUUACAUAUAAAGAAUGAGCUAGUUGCUGGAGAGUGGUCGGUGGUGGAAGCAAUCAAAUGUCAACAAUAUACAACAGUAGUUGUAUACCUAAGCUUCCAACUAAAUUUAUAAACAAUUAUGCUUUCCCAAUUUACAAAUGAUCAAAAGGUUUAUUGUUUUCAAGAUUUAAAUGUAAAUAUCAAGUUCCGAUGUUAUAAACAAUUGUUAGGAAUAUAGACAUCGGUUAACGACGAAGAGGUUUUUAACGAAGUAACACUUUAAGCCAUACAUUUUUUCGAGAUGCCGAUGCUGAUUUUAUUGCAGUAAUUAUUGAGUGGAAUAAGCAACCCAAUGCAUGCAACCUAUCGUUCGUUUGAUCAGCAGACAGAGUUAACUAGUUUGUGUUCAAAUAUCUUUCACCAUUUGUUUAUGUUUAGUAUAUAGCAAGCGGCACAGACAUAAAAGUUUCUAUUGAACGGCUACAAGCAAUUUGUCAUGCUUUAUACGCUUGUCAUUUAUUGGAUUUUUUUAAUGAUUCGAUCUACAAUAUUCACGCAUUUUCUCCAUUUUUUGUUCACAUACUUGCCAUAGCUUUUAAAAAUAAUUUUUCCAAUCAGACAGAGAUAAAUGCCAAAUAUCAUACACUUGUCUUUAAGUUUUC